UACGAAGGGGGCUAGCGUUGCUCGGAAUCACUGGGCGUAAAGCGCACGUAGGCGGAUUGUUAAGUCAGGGGUGAAAUCCUGGAGCUCAACUCCAGAACUGCCUUUGAUACUGGCGAUCUUGAGUCCGGGAGAGGUGAGUGGAACUGCGAGUGUAGAGGUGAAAUUCGUAGAUAUUCGCAAGAACACCAGUGGCGAAGGCGGACUCACUGGCCCGGUACUGACGCUGAGG
rnacentral:rRNA from 1 species